UUACUGGGCGUAAAGAGCUCGUAGGUGGUUUGUCGCGUUGUUCGUGAAAUCUCACGGCUUAACUGUGAGCGUGCGGGCGAUACGGGCAGACUUGAGUACUGCAGGGGAGACUGGAAUUCCUGGUGUAGCGGUGGAAUGCGCAGAUAUCAGGAGGAACACCGGUGGCGAAGGCGGGUCUCUGGGCAGUAACUGACGCUGAGGAGCGAAAGCGUGGGGAGCGAACAGGAUUAGAUACCCUGGUAGUCCACGCCGUAAACGGUGGGUACUAGGUGUGGGUUUCCUUCCUUGGGAUCCGUGCCGUAGCUAACGCAUUAAGUACCCCGCCUGGGGAGUACGGCCGCAAGGCUAAAACUCAAAGAAAUUGACGGGGGCCCGCACAAGCGGCGGAGCAUGUGGAUUAAUUCGAUGCAACGCGAAGAACCUUACCUGGGUUUGACAUGCACAGGACGCCGGCAGAGAUGUCGGUUCCCUUGUGGCCUGUGUGCAGGUGGUGCAUGGCUGUCGUCAGCUCGUGUCGUGAGAUGUUGGGUUAAGUCCCGCAACGAGCGCAACCCUUGUCUCAUGUUGCCAGCGGGUAAUGCCGGGGACUCGUGAGAGACUGCCGGGGUCAACUCGGAGGAAGGUGGGGAUGACGUCAAGUCAUCAUGCCCCUUAUGUCCAGGGCUUCACACAUGCUACAAUGGCCGGUACAAAGGGCUGCGAUGCCGCGAGGUUAAGCGAAUCCUUUUAAAGCCGGUCUCAGUUCGGAUCGGGGUCUGCAACUCGACCCCGUGAAGUCGGAGUCGCUAGUAAUCGCAGAUCA
rnacentral:rRNA from 1 species